GAGUUUGAUCAUGGCUCAGGAUGAACGCUAGCGGGAGGCUUAAUACAUGCAAGUCGAGGGGCAGCAUGGGACUUCGGUUCUGAUGGCGACCGGCGCACGGGUGAGUAACGCGUACACAACUUUCCUUAUACUGAGGGAUAACCCUGGGAAACUGGGACUAAUACCUCAUAGUAUUAUUUAAGGGCAUUCUUGAAUAAUUAAAGGUUACGGUAUAAGAUGGGUGUGCGUCCUAUUAGCUAGUUGGUAGUGUAAUGGACUACCAAGGCGACGAUAGGUAGGGGGCGUGAGAGCGUGAACCCCCACACGGGUACUGAGACACGGACCCGACUCCUACGGGAGGCAGCAGUAAGGAAUAUUGGACAAUGGAGGCAACUCUGAUCCAGCCAUCCCGCGUGCAGGAAGACGGCCCUAUGGGUUGUAAACUGCUUUUAUAUGGGAAGAACGGCCCCGACUUGUUGGGGUAUGACGGUACCAUAGGAAUAAGCACCGGCUAACUCCGUGCCAGCAGCCGCGGUAA
rnacentral:rRNA from 1 species